AUGCCAACCCUAUCUCACGGCGAAUUCGUAAUAAUUCAAACGAUUUAACCAAGUGGCUAAAUCGUAUGAAAUCAUACGAGCUGGCUCGUACGAAAUCGUACGAUUAGUUCAUCGCAUUUAACACAGCCCUGUGUUGCAGGGAUUUCGUGCUAAUUAAUACGAAUAGAUUAAAUCGUACUAUACCAUACGAUUUUGUUCAUCGCAUUCAAGAAGCGUGACCCGUAGCCAGAAAAAAACCUCUGGGUGUGCACCUGAAAAUCUGCGUGUCACAGGCAGGCAAGAUGACCAGAAACGCUGGGGAAUUCAGGUGCUGUAAAUCCGGUGGACAGGACUCAUCUCGUUAUAGAUCAAGGUGUGCUACUGUGGGUGGCUACGCCCCUGCCGUGACCCAAAUCUCGUUCGCACAUCAUCGCGAUAUUUAUCAUCUGUUUACAAACGUCGCCACAUCUCGCUUCGUAAGAUGGAAUUACUGGACUUCUCUCCAAUGCUCUUUAUUACCACACAGAGAGGCCAGCAUCGCUUCACAAAAGUUUUCAUUAAAAACGUCAACGUUCAGAGGCAUCACUCAGUACCAGUCAUGCAGAGACUUUAUGAGGCUGUUGUAAGAGAUUAGCCUAUCCCCUGUAUGUCACUGAUGCACUACUACAAAGAUGUGAGGACAAGAAAAUACACCUGCGAGUAGUCUUAGACAUUGCCUGUGUUGUUGCCUCACAUUUGCAGAAAUCAGGGGAGGGCAUACCACACAACAUCUCCUUAGACUUACCAGCAUUUCAUGUUUAUGGACACAAAUGGCCCUGCCAGGUAAUUCAUUGACUUUAUAGGGAUAUCAGGACAUGUAACACACAUCAUUCACUCCCUGUUUGGUCUCACAUUUUCUUGUCUAUGCACUGCAAAGCUGAAAUUAGCCAGAAAUGCCUAAAAAUAAUCUUUAAUCUAAUUUUUCCAACCUGACAUUUGUCUAAACUUGUUUCAGAGAUGCAAUGUGUAAGACAAUCCAGUGGAAACCGUUUAUGUCAAAUCUGUCUGGGUCAAACUAAUCACUAUAAGCAGAGGAUUGUUAUAACCAAAUUGGUUUCCUUUGUUUCUUUUUAUGCAGAUUACCUAAUUUGUAUAAUAAUUACAUUAAUAUAAAGUAAUAAAAAGAACAGCUUUGCUAUUUUUACAAAUUAAAAGAUAAAAUAACAUAAGAUCACUAUAAGCAGUAGGAUC